UGAUGACGAGACGCUAAGGCGUUGAAGUGGUGUAUGUCAGACUUCCAAGAAAAGCUCGCAAUGUCAUAGAUAAAAAAUGCCUGUACCAUAACCGACACAGGUGGGUAGGUAGAGUAUACUAAGGGGCGCGAGAUAACUCUCUCUAAGGAACUCGGCAAAAUGACUCCGUAACUUCGGGAGAAGGAGUGCCUUAUUUAUAAGGUUGCAAUAACAAGAUCCAAGCAACUGUUUAUCAAAAACACAGGUCUCCGCUAAGUCGUAAGACGAUGUAUGGGGGCUGACGCCUGCCCAGUGCCAGAAGGUUAAAGAAGUUGGUUAGUGUAAGCGAAGCUGAUAACUGAAGCCCUGGUGAACGGCGGCCGUAACUAUAACGGUCCUAAGGUAGCGAAAUUCCUUGUCGGGUAAGUUCCGACCCGCACGAAAGGCGUAAUGAUUUGGAUACUGUCUCGGAGAGAGGCUCGGUGAAAUAGACUUGUCUGUGAAGAUGCGGACUACCUGCACCAGGACAGAAAGACCCUAUGAAGCUUUACUGUAACUUGAAAUUGGAAUUGGACUUUGCUUGCGCAGUAUAGGUGGGAAGCGUUGAAGAUACUCUUGCGGGACUAUUGGAGCUAUCAGUGAGAUACCACUCUUGUAAUGUUAGAUUUCUAACUUUGAACCAUAAUCUGGUCAAAGAACAGUUUCAGGCGGGCAGUUUGACUGGGGCGGUCGCCUCCUAAAUGGUAACGGAGGCGUACAAAGGUUUCCUCUGAACGGAUAGAAAUCGUAUCUAGAGUGUAAAGGCAUAAGGAAGCUUGACUGUGAGACCUACAAGUCGAGCAGGGACGAAAGUCGGUCUUAGUGAUCUGACGGUACUGAGUGGAAAGGCCGUCACUCAACGGAUAAAAGUUACUCUAAGGAUAACAGGCUGAUCUCCCCCAAGAGUUCACAUCGACGGGGAGGUUUGGCACCUCGAUGUCGGCUCAUCGCAUCCUGGGGCGGUAGUACGUCCCAAGGGUUGGGCUGUUCGCCCAUGAAAGCGGUACGCGAGCUGGGUUCAGAACGUCGUGAGACAGUUCGGUCCAUAUCCGGUGUAGGCGUUAGAAUAUUGAGAGGAGCCUUCUUUAGUACGAGAGGACCGAGAAGGACACACCGCUGGUGUACCAGUUAUCGUGCCAACGGUAAACGCUGGGUAGCUAUGUGUGGAGAGGAUAACCGCUGAAAGCAUCUAAGUGGGAAGCCCACCUCAAGAU
rnacentral:rRNA from 1 species